rnacentral:tmRNA from 2 species
GCUAAUAAGCUAUGGCAAUAAGUUUUAUUAAGAAUAGAGGUAGUGGACCCGGGGGCAGUACUCGGCACCUCCACCA